UUUAUGGAGAGUUUGAUCCUGGCUCAGGAUGAACGCUGGCGGCGUGCCUAAUACAUGCAAGUCGAGCGAACAGACGAGGAGCUUGCUCCUUUGACGUUAGCGGCGGACGGGUGAGUAACACGUGGAUAACCUACCUAUAAGACUGGGAUAACUUCGGGAAACCGGAGCUAAUACCGGAUAACAUGUUGAACCGCAUGGUUCAACAGUGAAAGACGGUCUUGCUGUCACUUAUAGAUGGAUCCGCGCCGCAUUAGCUAGUUGGUAAGGUAACGGCUUACCAAGGCAACGAUGCGUAGCCGACCUGAGAGGGUGAUCGGCCACACUGGAACUGAGACACGGUCCAGACUCCUACGGGAGGCAGCAGUAGGGAAUCUUCCGCAAUGGGCGAAAGCCUGACGGAGCAACGCCGCGUGAGUGAAGAAGGUCUUCGGAUCGUAAAACUCUGUUAUUAGGGAAGAACAAAUGUGUAAGUAACUAUGCACGUCUUGACGGUACCUAAUCAGAAAGCCACGGCUAACUACGUGCCAGCAGCCGCGGUAAUACGUAGGUGGCAAGCGUUAUCCGGAAUUAUUGGGCGUAAAGCGCGCGUAGGCGGUUUUUUAAGUCUGAUGUGAAAGCCCACGGCUCAACCGUGGAGGGUCAUUGGAAACUGGAAAACUUGAGUGCAGAAGAGGAAAGUGGAAUUCCAUGUGUAGCGGUGAAAUGCGCAGAGAUAUGGAGGAACACCAGUGGCGAAGGCGACUUUCUGGUCUGUAACUGACGCUGAUGUGCGAAAGCGUGGGGAUCAAACAGGAUUAGAUACCCUGGUAGUCCACGCCGUAAACGAUGAGUGCUAAGUGUUAGGGGGUUUCCGCCCCUUAGUGCUGCAGCUAACGCAUUAAGCACUCCGCCUGGGGAGUACGACCGCAAGGUUGAAACUCAAAGGAAUUGACGGGGACCCGCACAAGCGGUGGAGCAUGUGGUUUAAUUCGAAGCAACGCGAAGAACCUUACCAAAUCUUGACAUCCUCUGACCCCUCUAGAGAUAGAGUUUUCCCCUUCGGGGGACAGAGUGACAGGUGGUGCAUGGUUGUCGUCAGCUCGUGUCGUGAGAUGUUGGGUUAAGUCCCGCAACGAGCGCAACCCUUAAGCUUAGUUGCCAUCAUUAAGUUGGGCACUCUAAGUUGACUGCCGGUGACAAACCGGAGGAAGGUGGGGAUGACGUCAAAUCAUCAUGCCCCUUAUGAUUUGGGCUACACACGUGCUACAAUGGACAAUACAAAGGGUAGCGAAACCGCGAGGUCAAGCAAAUCCCAUAAAGUUGUUCUCAGUUCGGAUUGUAGUCUGCAACUCGACUACAUGAAGCUGGAAUCGCUAGUAAUCGUAGAUCAGCAUGCUACGGUGAAUACGUUCCCGGGUCUUGUACACACCGCCCGUCACACCACGAGAGUUUGUAACACCCGAAGCCGGUGGAGUAACCUUUUGGAGCUAGCCGUCGAAGGUGGGACAAAUGAUUGGGGUGAAGUCGUAACAAGGUAGCCGUAUCGGAAGGUGCGGCUGGAUCACCUCCUUU
rnacentral:rRNA from 1 species